rnacentral:rRNA from 1 species
UACGAAGGGGGCUAGCGUUGCUCGGAAUCACUGGGCGUAAAGCGCACGUAGGCGGAUCGUUAAGUCAGGGGUGAAAUCCUGGAGCCCAACUCCAGAACUGCCCUUGAUACUGGCGACCUUGAGUUCGGGAGAGGUGAGUGGAACUGCGAGUGUAGAGGUGAAAUUCGUAGAUAUUCGCAAGAACACCAGUGGCGAAGGCGGCUCACUGGCCCGAUACUGACGCUGAGGUGCGAAAGCGUGGGGAGCAAACAGGG